UGUUCACAGGAAGCCCUCCCUGACAGCCGAAUGCCACACAAGCCUGAUAACUGCUUUUCACGGGGCAGAGGUGGGGAUCCACCAGAAACAUGGCCUCCUCUUCCUCUGCACAAUGGAUGGGAUGGGAAGGGCACUCCAGCCACUCCUUAUGACGGCGACCCGAGUCCUGCCGCUUAGCAGAGGCGUGAAUUUGGACAUGUUGCUUCCCUACUUCUAGCCUCAGAAUGCCGAUGUCAGAGCCUUGGCUACUGCUUGGGAGCAGCUACCACCAUCCAGCCAUUCCCACCCAGCUGACCAACUCGAUAACCUGCCAGUAGCCAAACACCUCCAUGCCGCAGCAAUGUGGAGAACAAAGUCAAAGGAAAUGCCAAUUUCCUAACAAAGGAGGGAUGCAAGUCUGGAUAAAUACACCCAGCCUGGCCACAUGAUGGAACAAGUGUGAGAAGACCAACUCUAUCCCUCUGCACUGUAAAGCUCUCAAGGGCUCAUCUAUUGCCGGCUUCUUCCCUGAUACCAAAGACAUCAAGAGGGGCUCCCCUGGUGGCUCAGCAGUACGGGAUCCACCUGCCAAUGCAGGAGACACAGGUUCAACUCCUGGUCUGGGAAGAUCCCAUAUGCCUCAGAGCAACAUGCCUAAGUGCAUGUGCCACAACUACUGAGCUUGUGCUCAAGAGCCCGGGAGCCUCAGCUUCUGAGCCCACAUGCCACAACUACUGAGCCCAUGCACCCUAGAACCCGUGUUCCACAACAGGAGAAGCCACUGCAUUGAGAAGCCCGUGUACUGCAACUAGAGAGUAUCUCUCCCUCACCACAGACAGAGAAAAGCCCGCGCGACAACAAAGACCCAGCAGAGCCAAAAGUAAAUACUUUUUUAAAAAAGACAUCAGGGAAGGCAUAUUGGACGACGAGGGAGACAGAAUGCAAGUGUGAUCCCUGCCAAUAACAGGCUGUGCAGUUUUCAGCAAGGCUCAUCAUCUCUCUGAGCCUCAGUUUCCCAACUCUGAAAUGAAACCUGGAUGAGCAGGGUCCUUCUGGCUGUGAUAUCGUUUGCUCUUUCUAUGGCCAGUUGUGGCUUCACUCCCACAUAGACCCGCUGAAUGCCAUGCACACAAACCUCGGUCCAUUCCGAGUCCAGCCCUUGCUGCUCUCCGCAGUCUGGAUCGUCUAUUACUUUACUAGGUGGCCCCAGAGAAUGGCAGGGGCUCACGGUCUCCCUCCCUCACUGUUAAAGUUCUUUGGAAUAAGCACAACAGUCCUGCUCCUUCACAGCCCCCAAAGGCCAGGCUGCCCAGGAAGUAUCAGGCUGGGACUCAGAUUGCAAAGAUACAUGGUUACACAGACACUCUGCCAGCCCCCAGGAAUCCAGGCCAAGAAUAGCUAAUGCUUGCACCAAACAUGGGCUUCUCUCUUAGCUUGGUCAGGGGAAAAAA